rnacentral:rRNA from 1 species
AUUGAACGCUGGCGGCAGGCCUAACACAUGCAAGUCGAGCGGAUGAAGGGAGCUUGCUCCUGGAUUCAGCGGCGGACGGGUGAGUAAUGCCUAGGAAUCUGCCUGGUAGUGGGGGAUAACGUCCGGAAACGGGCGCUAAUACCGCAUACGUCCUGAGGGAGAAAGUGGGGGAUCUUCGGACCUCACGCUAUCAGAUGAGCCUAGGUCGGAUUAGCUAGUUGGUGGGGUAAAGGCCUACCAAGGCGACGAUCCGUAACUGGUCUGAGAGGAUGAUCAGUGACACUGGAACUGAGAAGCGGUCCAGACACCUACGGAAGGCAGCAGUGGGGAAUAUUGGACAAUGGGCGAAAGCCUGAUACAGCCAUGCGGCGUGUGUGAAGAAAGUCUUCGGAUUGUAAAGCACUUUAAGUUGGGAGGAAGGGCAGUAAGUUAAUACCUUGCUGUUUUGACGUUACCAACAGAAUAAGCACCGGCUAACUUCGUG